rnacentral:rRNA from 1 species
AUUGAACGCUGGCGGCAGGCUUAACACAUGCAAGUCGAGCGGUAGCACAGGGGAGCUUGCUCCCUGGGUGACGAGCGGCGGACGGGUGAGUAAUGUCUGGGAAACUGCCUGAUGGAGGGGGAUAACUACUGGAAACGGUAGCUAAUACCGCAUAACGUCGCAAGACCAAAGAGGGGGACCUUCGGGCCUCCUGCCAUCAGAUGUGCCCAGAUGGGAUUAGCUAGUAGGUGGGGUAAUGGCUCACCUAGGCGACGAUCCCUAGCUGGUCUGAGAGGAUGACCAGCCACACUGGAACUGAGACACGGUCCAGACUCCUACGGGAGGCAGCAGUGGGGAAUAUUGCACAAUGGGCGCAAGCCUGAUGCAGCCAUGCCGCGUGUGUGAAGAAGGCCUUCGGGUUGUAAAGCACUUUCAGCGAGGAGGAAGGUGGUGAACUUAAUACGUUCAUCAAUUGACGUUACUCGCAGAAGAAGCACCGGCUAACUCCGUGCCAGCAGCCGCGGUAAUACCGAGGGUGCAAGCGUUAAUCGGAAUUACUGGGCGUAAGCGCCGCAGGCGGUUUGUUAAGUCAGAUGUGAAAUCCCCGGGCUCAACCUGGGAACUGCAUUUGAAACUGGCAAGCUAGAGUCUCGUAGAGGGGGGUAGAAUUCCAGGUGUAGCGGUGAAAUGCGUAGAGAUCUGGAGGAAUACCGGUGGCGAAGGCGGCCCCCUGGACGAAGACUGACGCUCAGGUGCGAAAGCGUGGGGAGCAAACAGGAUUAGAUACCCUGGUAGUCCACGCUGUAAACGAUGUCGAUUUGGAGGUUGUGCCCUUGAGGCGUGGCUUCCGGAGCUAACGCGUUAAAUCGACCGCCUGGGGAGUACGGCCGCAAGGUUAAAACUCAAAUGAAUUGACGGGGGCCCGCACAAGCGGUGGAGCAUGUGGUUUAAUUCGAUGCAACGCGAAGAACCUUACCUACUCUUGACAUCCAGAGAACUUUCCAGAGAUGGAUUGGUGCCUUCGGGAACUCUGAGACAGGUGCUGCAUGGCUGUCGUCAGCUCGUGUUGUGAAAUGUUGGGUUAAGUCCCGCAACGAGCGCAACCCUUAUCCUUUGUUGCCAGCGGUUCGGCCGGGAACUCAAAGGAGACUGCCAGUGAUAAACUGGAGGAAGGUGGGGAUGACGUCAAGUCAUCAUGGCCCUUACGAGUAGGGCUACACACGUGCUACAAUGGCAUAUACAAAGAGAAGCGACCUCGCGAGAGCAAGCGGACCUCAUAAAGUAUGUCGUAGUCCGGAUUGGAGUCUGCAACUCGACUCCAUGAAGUCGGAAUCGCUAGUAAUCGUAGAUCAGAAUGCUACGGUGAAUACGUUCCCGGGCCU